rnacentral:lncRNA from 1 species
CCGCACAUGGCAGCCCAUGGAUGCACGCAUGACCAAGCCCACGCACAAUCACAAGCCAUAUAGACCCGCCAAGCACUUCAUGCGGAUCAAUUCCCGCACAUGCACAGUGGACACGCUCCCACAUGGAUUCCAGCACGAGGGAUUGGCACUUGACACAUGGGCCCGUUGAACUUCAACGUCCACUCCACCAAGCUCCCGCACAUGGGCUGAUGGGCACCUUUCACGGACAUGGCCCAAUCCGCACAAGCCACUCACGC